rnacentral:rRNA from 1 species
CCUACGGGUGGCAGCAGUGGGGAAUAUUGCACAAUGGGGGAAACCCUGAUGCAGCGACGCCGCGUGAGUGAAGAAGUAUUUCGGUAUGUAAAGCUCUAUCAGCAGGGAAGAACUACUGACCUUACGGUCAGCAGACGGUACCUGACUAAGAAGCCCCGGCUAACUACGUGCCAGCAGCCGCGGGAAUACGUAGGGGGCACGCGUUAUCCGGAUUUACUGUGUGUAAAGGGAGAGUAGACGGCCGCGCAAGUCUGAAGUGAAAUCCCAUGGCUUAACCAUGGAACUGCUUUGGAAACUGUGUAGCUUGAGUGCAGGAGAGGUAAGCGGAAGUCCUAGGGUAGCGGUGAAAUGCGUAGAUAUUAGGAGGAACACCAGUGGCGAAGGCGGCUUACUGGACUGUAACUGACGUUGAGGCUCGAAAGCGUGGGGAGCAAACAGGAUUAGAUACCCGUGUAGUC